rnacentral:lncRNA from 1 species
AAUAAAACCAAGAUAUCCAGUCUGUCAAUCUGUUCUGGUGGAUCACAUCUUUGUGUUGUUGGAAGUUGCAAGAACUUUUCUGAUAGAUUUCAGCAGAACUAAGAAUUACUUGAUUCUAUUGUUGACUUGAUCUCUGCUUUUUGAAACUUUGGACCAGUCUGCGGGUGAGAUGAGUCUUCUGCUUAUUAACACAAGUAUGAAAAAUAGCUCAUGUUCAAGAUCACAGCAUGCAUAGGAGUCCAAACCAUCUUGAGAUAUUGGACAAAGGAAUUAGAGGUCAGCUGGGCAGAAAAAUGUCAGUGUCUUAUGUCUACGCUGGAUAGAAGAAGAAUUAAGAGACUUAUUGAUUCGAGGAAGAUUUAGACCAGUCACUGAGGAGGAACUAGCAGGAAGAGAUUUUCAAGGCAGGUCCUUGGGCUGUGUGUGGCAAUUGGGCACGUACCUGUUGGAAAUGCUUCAGGCAGAGAGCAACCUGUCUGUAGAGCCCCGGUACAGCAGGGUGCUGGCCUGAAACCAAUGUUCUGUGGGACUGGAGCCAGAAACAGGAUCAGGGUUGCAGGAAGAACCCUGAAAAGAAAGGCUCUUCUUUCAGAAAGUGGAGCUCCAUGAGCUGUCGGCAUCCCAGGGGCAGAGCAGAGGCAGAUUUUGGCUGUGAAGUUGACCCAGCCAAUGCCACGCAGGACAAGGUGGCAUUGAGAAGGUCCACAGCAGCAGCAUGUGUGCUGGAGGGGAACCACAAGCCGUGAAGGAUAGGGCAAAAGUGCCCGCUUCAUAAAUACACAUAAACAAACAAAACAGCUCACCAGCAGACAAGUAAGUGGUCUCUGAUCCAGGCAAGCAUGAUUGUUUCUCCAAUUUCUUCCCUCUCUCCAUCCUCACCAGCUCUUCCAGUUGUUUUCAGCAGCGUUCUUGAAUGAAUAAGUCAGAAUAAAGACACACGGGAAAACCCAGCAAUAAGAAACCUGAAGAGUCGUGGAUGGAGCAAAUUAAAAGUUCUGCCCAAAAUUCAGUGCUUCAGUGACCAUGGUUUCUCCUCUGCGAAGGCCCUCCUGUUGCCUUAGAAAAUUAUCAUCCCGUUUACUUAAUUAGGCUGACUCCAAGCUUUAGGCAUCGGCCUGCCAAGAUGAUGCACACAGCUCUUGUCUAUUUGCCCUCAGCAAGCUUGCCUGCCUUGCCCUCUUCUGUGCUCUGAAACCCAGAAAUUCCACACAGAUGGUAUUUUUUAAGGUGUUUCUAAUAGCAAUGAUUUGGAAGGGAAUGCUGAGCCUUCUUGAAAUAUGGAGGAGACAUUGACGAGACCACUGUGUUUUCUGUUUGCGUGUGAAUGACAGAUGCUAUUCACAUCAAACAGAGGAUGCAUAAAGUCAUGGUGAUUGUAAAGACGUGGUGGGCAUAUUUCUGCACUGCAAAACUCAGGAACACGGCCUGCCAGGUAGUUCAUCCCCACGUGCUGGAGGAGCCGUGCCCUUUGGUUGUUCAUCAUCAAUAGGACUGAAAGCCUCUUGGAAAAAAAAGAGAGUCAAUGACCUCUAUAGCAUCACGUCAAACUUCCAGACUGCUGAUCAUCACAGUGUCAGUCCUUCAUUUUAGAGAAGUUUCUCUUUUACAGUACUAGCGCGGGGUUCUGGUGGCAGCAUUUGGAGAAGGAAUGGUGAGCUAAAGUGUGAAAAGUGAAUGCAAAAGGCUGUGGAAAGAUGUAUCCACCUGGUUUUACUGAAGAAAACAAUACAGCUCCCCAAGUGCUGGUGAAGCCCUUUCGUUGCUUUUUGCGUGGUUCAGCUCCUGCUUCCCUCUGAUUUCGUUAGUGUUUGGCCGAAUCCCAAUUCCUUUUGAAGAUGAUUAAUUGCAGAACAGCUUAUCCUUAUUAGUGGUACUCAGACCCAACUGAAUUUACCAAAGAAGUAAUUACCAGGGUCUUGGUGAUGGGUUUCCUAUUGAAAACGCUUGGGUUGACUGCAGGAGGAGCUGGGAACCAGGGUUUCCCAUGGCUUUGGACAGCUGGGAAACACAUUUCAGCCACAAAAGCACUCAGGGACCUCUAGCCCUCGCAUCCACAUCCAAUGUCCUGUCCCCACCAUCACUGGCCCUGUGCCGAGGAUCACGUGGCACCGUGAUGGGAUCACACGUUUACCAAAGCCACUCUUGUCACCGUAUGGGAACACAAUGUUUCUCCCUGCCUCUAGAAGCUGAGAAUUGGAAGAGGUCAUGAACAUCAACAAAUAUUGUCCAGAUUUUCUUCAGGUCCCUUUGUUGCUAAGGGAGUUUGACACUGCCAUGAUGAGCACUGCAGGAAUUCAGAAUGCACCAGCAUGAAUUGUAGAAUCAUAUACUGGUUUGGGUUGGAGGGGACCUUUGAGAUCAUGUAGUUCCAAUCCUCCUGCUAUAGGCAGGGACACCUCCUCUAGACCAAGUUGCUCAAAGCCCCAUCCAGCCUGGCCUUGAAUGCUUCCGGGGAGGGGGCAUCCACAGCCUCGCUGGGCAACCUGUUCCAGUGUCUCACUACCCUCACAAUAAAGAAUUUCUUUCUGAUAUCUAGUCUAGAUCUACCCUCUUCUGCUUUAAAGCCAUUUCCCCUCGUGCUUUUGAAGGAGAAGCAUUUUUAUGGGUAACCACACACUUUACUUUAGGAAGUAUUUACACAGCUGUGACCUUUUUGAACGAUAAGCUCCCCUGGUGUUUGGGAGCAGUGUCAUCUUCAAAUGGCAUGGCUAGACCUAGAGGUUGCCUGCUUGAGGGCCCUGCCCACCCGUGAUCUUCUCCCCCUCUCCCUCUACCUCUUAAGUUCUUUACAAGGAGAGUGGUGAGGUGCUGGAACGGGCUGCCCAGAGAGGCUGUGGAUGCCCCGUCCCUGGAGGUGUUCAAGGCCACGUUGGAUGGGGCCCUGGGCAACCUGGUCUAGUAAAUGGGGAGGUUGGUGGCCCUGCUAGCAGGGGGGUUGGAGAUUCAUGAUCCUUGAGGUCCCUUCCAACCCAGGCCAUUCUGUGAUUCUGUGAUUCUGUGUGAUUCUGUGAUACCUGGAGUAUCCCACCCCCCUAUGCCCCUGUCUCACCCCAGCUCCUCUCCUUGUCCCGGCCACUCCCAGCCCUCACUGCUUACCACCUCCCUUCCUCUUCUACAGAUCCACUGCUGAAAAAGAGACAUAAAUCCAAAAACAUCACUGGUGCCUCAUGUGCAAACACUUUAACAUUAAGCUGACACAGUCCUGUUGUUCA